rnacentral:rRNA from 1 species
GACGAACGCUGGCGGCGUGCUUAACACAUGCAAGUCGAACGGAAAGGCCCUGCUUUUGUGGGGUGCUCGAGUGGCGAACGGGUGAGUAACACGUGAGUAACCUGCCCUUGACUUUGGGAUAACUUCAGGAAACUGGGGCUAAUACCGGAUAGGAGCUCCUGCUGCAUGGAGGGGGUUGGAAAGUUUCGGCGGUUGGGGAUGGACGCGCGGCUUAUCAGCUUGUUGGUGGGGUAGUGGCUUACCAAGGCUUUGACGGGUCGCCGGCCCGAGAGGGUGACCGGCCACCAUAGGACUGCGAUACGGCCCAGACUCCUACGGGAGGCAGCAGUGGCGAAUAUUGCCCAAUGGGCGCGAGCCUGAUGCAACAACGCCGCGUUCGGGAUGACGGCCUUCGGGUUGUAAACCGCUUUCGCCUGUGACGAAGCGUGAGUGACGGUAAUGGGUAAAGAAGCACCGGCUAACUACGUG